rnacentral:lncRNA from 1 species
AUUCACCUCGUGAUAUUUCUUGAUCCUCCUCCUUCCGACAGCUUUUAUACCUGAGCGUGUCUCAUUUUGAAAAUCUUAAAUUGAUUCACCUCGUGAUAUUUUCCUCUCCCGCCGGCUUAUACCUGAGCGUGUCUCAUUUUUAAAAUCUUAAAUUGGUGAGUCUAUGUAUAUGUCUAUGUAUAUGUCUGUGUGUGUUUUACUGUAUUCAAAUCGAUAAUUUCCAGUACAUUCAAUCGAUAAUUUCAAAUCGAAAAUUUCCAGUACAUUCAAUCGAUAAUUUCAAAUCGAAAAUUUCCAGUGUAUUCAAUCGAUAAUUUCCAGUGCAUUCAAUCGAAAAUUUCCAGUGCAUUCAAUCGAUAAUUUCAAAUCGAAAAUUUCCAGUGUAUUCAAUCGAUAAUUUCCAGUGCAUUCAAUCGAAAAUUUCCAGUGCAUUCAAUCGAUAAUUUCCAGUGCAUUCAAUCGAAAAUUUCUAGAGAAGAAAGAAAAAAAGUCAUCUGUUUUAAUCCAAAAUUUUUUUAUAAAAACCUAGUUAAUCUUCUUCUUCUGAAAACCAAUUUCUCUCUCUCAAUUACAGAUUCACCUCCCGCCAGCUUAUACCUGUGCGUGCCACAUUCUAAAAAUCUUAAAUUGCUGAGUCUAUGUGUGUGUGUUUUACUAUUAGAACUAUACCAGUUUUCAAUUCGAAAAUUUCCACUGCAUUCAAAUCGAUAAGUUCAAACAAUCGAUCAUUUCGACUUAUUUAUUUCUCGAUAUUUAAAUAAAAGGGGAAAAAAAAUAAGUUUCUCUCUCUCUCCAACCAGCACAUCUUUAUCAUUUUUAAUCGGGGGAGUUUGUUCUCAAACCUCUCAUUUCAAGUUUGAUAUUGUUUGACUGAUUGAUUCAUUGAUGGAUCACGUCAAAUGUGUUUCAUUUUACCGAAAAAGUGAUGGUUUUUAUAUCAAUUUCAGAUACUUCUUCGCUUUUUUUACAUCGUUUUUCCACCUGCCAACUGUGUGAGCAUCGUCUGCCCGCCCUCACCGUUCUUAUUCUCACCCGACAUCCAAAAAGUCUCACGCCAUCCAUCUUAGUCAACAACCUCACCAACAACAGUACCAUCACUGUCAGCAACAACAUCAACAACAACAACAACUCCUCCUCCUCCUCCUCCGUAAAAUAUGCAACUCCGCCAUGUAUGCCCCAUAAUCCAAUCUCACUUCCAUGUUUGGCUGGGGAACCCUGCGCCCCGCCCAAUCAUGAUAAAUAUUAUGGGACCAGCUAGCAUGGAGCAACAAACAGUCCACCGUCUUGGGGAGGAGAUAUCCUCUUGGAUAUCAAUGAGGUCAGCCUCGGUACCGAAAGAAAAUGUUGCAGGAGGAUAUAUACUCACCAAGGCGGGGGAUGUGUUUACAGUAAAGUACUGGCCGACUGUGGGGGAGACGAGUCUUAGCCUGGUAUUGAUGGGAGCAUAAUUCAAUACCAGGGAUAGGUCUCUCUCUCUCUCGGUCAGCUAUCCCCUUCGUCUAAUUACAUACAUAAAGUCGCUUUUAUAGCGCCGCCUCGCGCUCUGCGACGCCCAAUCGCCAUUGCCCCUCCUAUCCUAUGUUAUAUUAUACGUAUGUUUUUUUAAAAAAAAAAAAAAUAAAAAUAAAGUGAGGAGUCAGUUAGUAAAUACCCGAGUUUUUUUCUUUCUUCCUUUUCUCACUUUGAGAAUGGGUGGGUGGGAUACUAAACUAAUGAGUGAUUUAACAUUUACAAUGAAAUAAUGCAGGGUGAGCAGACACAGGGGUCUAUCUCUGAUUAUGUUGAGGUAAAUUCUAGGAUUAACACAUGGUAAUCCUAGGAUUUAGUCUAAACAGAAGAUAGGUUCCCUCUGCUGCGUCGCCCUCACACCUGUUCCAUAUAUGAAGUAGAUAAAGAAGUAAUAUUUUUUCAUCUUCUGUUUCUUCAUGAAUGUUACAAAAAAAAUUAAUACGAAACCUUAAAGGUUAGAGUUUUCUCCACGCCUUCCUUCGGUUGGUGUUUAUAAGUAUUACCUAGCAGUCAUAAGAUGAGAAAAUUUCAAAAAUGAAAGACAAACUAAUGUCUGUUGGUAUUCAUAGGAGAGAUUAUACGCGGGGGAAAUUUCCGAAAUUGAAAAUUGAACAUUUAGAUAUCUGUUGACAGAAAAAUCGCACGGGAAAAUUUUGAAAAGGUAAUCAUACACAUAAAUGCACAAGUGUCAUCAAUGAAAAUGACCAAGCAUUUGUAGAGAAAAUCGUAGAAUGAUUGAUUCAUGAAACGUUGAAAAGCAGGUGAAGAAUUUUUGAAACCUUGAGGUAAUACACAAAAACGAUAGGUUCCUGUGUCUGUAUUGAACGCAAAUUUAUGUCUAUCUUCAGGGCGAACCAAAAUUUGAGAAAAUCCAUUAUUCAUGUCCAUAGAGCUGAAAAAUUCCUUGUUUUCAAAAUUGACGCGGUAAUUUUAUCCUUAAGAGAAACGAAACCACACAUAACGUCAAGACUGUAGGGGUGAAAAAAUGGGCGAUCCAUUGAAUCCCGAACAUAAUGGAGAUGACGAGUUGUUGCGACCAAGAAACUUUGUCAUGGACGUGCAAACUAUUGGAGAAUUAUUUUCUAGCAUCACUCUAAUAACGAAACACUCAGCUAUAGACGAAUUUGCGGUAAAGUAUGAUUUCACCGCUUCAAGGUAAAAAAUCCAUUAUUCAUGUCCAUAGAGCUGAAAAAUUCCUUGUUUUCAAAAUUGACGCGGUAAUUUUAUCCUUAAGAGAAACGAAACCACACAUAACGUCAAGACUGUAGGGGUGAAAAAAUGGGCGAUCCAUUGAAUCCCGAACAUAAUGGAGAUGACGAGUUGUUGCGACCGAGAAACUUUGUCAUGGACGUUCAAACUAUUGGAGAAUUAUUUUCUAGCAUCACUCUAAUAACGAAACAAUCAGCUAUAGACGAAUUUGCGGUAAAGUAUGAUUUCACCGCUUCAAGGUAAAAAAUCCAUUAUUCAUGUCCAUAGAGCUGAAAAAUUCCUUGUUUUCAAAUUGACGCGGUAAUUUUAUCCUUAAGAGAAACGAAACCAC